UUUUUUUUUUUUUUUUUUUUUGGUCUCUUUAGGGCCACACCACCACAGCACAUGGAAAUUCCCAGGCUAGGGGCUGCAUCGGAGCUAUAGAUGCCGGCCUAUGCCACAACUACAGCAAUGCAAGAUCUGAUCCACAUCUGCGACCUACACCACAACUCACGGCAAUGCUCGAUCCUUAACCUACUGAGCGAGGCCAGGGAUCGAACCUGCAUCCUCAUGGGUACUUGUCAGAUUCAUUUCUGCUGCACCAUGACGAGAACUCCAACAACUUCUGGGAUUUAUGAUUAGCACCCUUGUCCAGGCACUACUUGGAAACACACAAAGUUAAGUGUUUAUUUUCUAUGAGGAUUAAAAUAGAAACUACCAAUUGAAAAACUAAAAUAAAACAACGAGAUAAUAAGGGAAAGUCUGUAAUCUAGAGAGAUUCUGACAGUCAUAGGCUUAUGCCUGCCGUUCCCAGAAAUAAGUCUUCUGACCUAAAGAAAAGCAGGGGACACUAUCAAUCAGAGGGUUGGCUGUACUUAAACGCUUAUUAAAUGUGGGUUUGGUUGGAGAGAUGGAAAUGCACGUACUGGUUCACUAGAGAAACGCUGAGCAGCAGCUAUAGGAAAUCAUCACUGAGCCAGUGAAAUUUAAAAUGGAUCAGGCGCAACAUUCAUACACUGCUGGGGGGAGUACAAAGAGCACAGCUACCUUGGAAUAUUGUUUGACAGCGGUCGGUCAAAGCAGAACAGAGACAUGCCCCACGACCCAUCGGCCCCCCUCCUGGGGUCACACGCACCAGGACGGGACCUCUGAGCCCCAGGAGGCAGCAUGCCAAAGAGCAGUCACCUCUACAGACAAGCAUGAAUUCCACAAAUAUAACUGAGCAAAAGAAGUCAGAGACCAAGACCCUCGUACUAUGUUACCCAUUUAUAUACAAUUCAAAAAGGGAGAUAAACGAUAGAAUUUGACGUCAGCAGAAUGGUUACCUUUGGGGAGAAGGGGUUAAUCAUUGCAAGGGUCCCUGGGGGGCUUCUGAAGUGCGGAUGAUUCUCUGCUUCUUAUGUGAAUUGUGGUUACAGCUGCGCUAAUUCCAGUAAAAUUUCAGUGAGCUGUAAAAUUAUGCUGUGCAGUUUUCUGUACGGGUGCUUUAAGUUGAUAAAAAGUUUACUUAAGAAUCAUUCACGUAGGAAGAGGCGUUUGCUAAUGUCAGUGGAGUGAAGAGAUCCCACGCACUUGGUUAAAUUUUUUUAAAUACACUUGAAAGCUUCUAGAAAGAGACAAAAACUGGAGGGGAGUUUUAUCUCAAAUGCUUGCAUCUGUAAGAGUAAGACUGGAAUGACAAGGAGCGAAAUAUGCCAAGUUAAUGAUUUUCUUAAAGGAGAACAUUCUCUAACCAUGCACAGCUUGGGCAACUGAAAGCCGGAAGGGUCAGAGUCUGGAGCCCAAACCCAGAAGAGCAGCUGGCAAUGACUAGUAUCCCUGAAGGAAGAGAAGCCCAGUGUGAACCCUGCUUCUUCCCAAACCCUCAGCCCACUGUCAAUACACACAGGCCAAGGAAGAUCCACAAGGCCCAGGCCAAAAACGUAGCAGAGGAAAGAAACAGAGCAGAACAGAGAUCUAGGUGAGCCUGCACGAUGGAGAGAAUGUCAAGAUACAUCACAUGCUGGGCCAUAAAGCAAGUUCCGUGGGGUUUAGAAAUAUUGAUAUACUGCAGGGUAUGUUCUUUGCCCACAAUGGAAUUAACUCAGAAGUCAACCUAAACAUAGCAGAUAUCUGGAAAUUAAAUGGCUCACUGGAAAACACAACAUAUCAACAAACUUACAGGAAACACAUACAACAGUGCUUAGAGGGAUUUUUAUGGCCAUAAAUGUGUACACAUAAAAAUAAAAAGGUCACUAAUCAAUGAGCUAAAGCAGGGGUUGGCAAACCUUUCCUUAAAAAUGCCAGCAAGUGAGUAUUUUAGGUUUUGUGGGCCAUAUGGUCCCUGACGCAACCAUUCAACUCUGCAACUGUAGCACAAAAGCAAUUAUAGGCAAUACUGAAAAGGAAUGACCAUGACAGGAGUCCAGUAAAACUACUUACAGAAACAAGCACUGGGCCGUAUUUGGCUGCUAUAGUUUGCUACUCACUGAUCUAAGCUUUUAUCAUAGGAAACUAAGAAAAGAAGCAAAAAUAAACUCAAAUUAACAGGGGAAAAAAGAAAGAAAAUGGAUAAUGACAGGAAUCAAUAAAAUAUAAACAGAAAAUAAAGAAAUUCACAAGCUUACUCUUUGAAAAAUGAAAAAAUGAUAAAUUUCC
rnacentral:lncRNA from 1 species